AUGCCUUUUCUCAUACCAUUUCUUCCAUUGGAAUGUCCUCUUCCCAUUGAAAUCAUAUCUAUCCUUGAAAGUCCUCUAUGGCACUUCCUCUAUGGAGCUCUCCCCUCAUUGCCCCAGCUAGUUGUAAUAUCUUCCUCCUCUCAAAUCUUGAAGAACUUUGUAUUUACCAUUUAUAUGGUAUUUAUUGCCAGGAUGGAUAUUCAGAAUAUUUAUCAAGUGGCAUGGCCAACUACUGACCAAUCAGAAGGGGGGCCUCCUGAAUUAUCGGUCCUGGGAUUGCCCUCAGCCAUGCAGCAAAGUUGGUUCCACAUGAUCUCAGCUCCUCUUCUGACCUGUAUGCACCUUCAGGACAGGGCCCCUCAUAUAUUUUUAUGUAAUUACAGAUUUCUCCACCAUCACUGCUGCCACAUUGCGACAAGCCACCUUCAUCUGUCAUUGGCGCUCAGAAAUUCUGUGAACCAUCGUUAUCCUUCUGGCAAAGACAAAACAAUGGAUGCCUGGAAAACUUUAUGGCCCCGGACAGCCCUGCUACCUGUUUGAAAGAAAAAGAACCAAAAAAUAUGAUGGAUGGAUGGAUGGACAAUUUGAAGAAUGAGUGCAAUUUCUUCCAACCUAGGUAUAAAAGUUCCCUGAAGAAACUGGUAUAUGAGCUUACCUUAAAGUCUAAAAAAGCUUUAGAUUUGGGAGUUGAUAAUAAGGGCAAACCCAAGUAAAGCAAGUAUAUUAAGCAGCAGCCUGAUGGAUCAGAAGAGUUUGAGUUGGCAAGAUAUGAAGUGCCAGAAGAUAUGGUUGAUGACUAAAAAUGUGUUUAGCAUACUUGUGAAUCCAUUAGAAGCUUUUUAAGCUCCUUGAAGGCAUGACCUGUUGAUGAGUGUGUUUGCAGAGCUCAGCCCUGUGCCUGCCACAGUGAAAUAAUGGAAUAAAAGACAAGUCAAGGAGGAAGGUUGGCCCA
rnacentral:lncRNA from 12 species